rnacentral:rRNA from 2 species
CAAGUCGAACGGUAACGCGGACUUCGGUCUGGCGACGAGUGGCGAACGGGUGAGUAAUGCAUCGGAACGUAUCCAUUUGUGGGGGAUAGCCCGGCGAAAGCCGGAUUAAUACCGCAUAAUCUCUGAGGAGGAAAGUGGGGGACCUUCGGGCCUUACGCUGAUGGAGCGGCUGAUGUCGGAUUAGCUAGUUGGUAGGGUAAAGGCCUACCAAGGCGACGAUCCGUAGCUGGUCUGAGAGGACGACCAGCCACACUGGAACUGAGACACGGUCCAGACUCC